rnacentral:rRNA from 1 species
AUUGAACGCUGGCGGCAGGCCUAACACAUGCAAGUCGAACGAGUGGCGGACGGGUGAGUAAUGUCUGGGAAACUGCCCGAUGGAGGGGGAUAACUACUGGAAACGGUAGCUAAUACCGCAUACCAUCGGAUGUGCCCAGAGGGGAUUAGCUUGUAGGUAAGGUAACGGCUCACCUAGGCGACGAUCCCUAGCUGGUCUGAGAGGAUGAACAGCCACACUGGAACUGAGACACGGCCCAUACUCCUACGGGAGUCAGCAGUGGGGAAUAUUGCACAAUGGGGGAAAGCCUGAUGCAGCCAUGCCGCGUGUAUGAAGAAGGCCUUCGGGUUGUAAAGUACUUUCAGUCGGGAGGCGUUACCGACAGAAGAAGCACCGGCUAACUCCGUGCCAGCAGCCGCGGUAAUUC